rnacentral:rRNA from 1 species
CCUACGGGGGGCUGCAGUGGGGAAUAUUGGACAAUGGGGGGAACCCUGAUCCAGCCAUGCCGCGUGUGUGAAGAAGGCCCUCGGGUUGUAAAGCACUUUCAGUGAGGAAGAACGCCUGGUGGUUAAUACCCAUCAGGAAAGACAUCACUCACAGAAGAAGCACCGGCUAACUCCGUUCCAGCAGCCGCGGUAAUACGGAGGGUGCGAGCGUUAAUCGGAAUUACUGGGCGUAAAGCGCGCGUAGGUGGCUUGAUAAGCCGGUUGUGAAAGCCCCGGGCUCAACCUGGGAACGGCAUCCGGAACUGUCAAGCUAGAGUGCAGGAGAGGAAGGUAGAAUUCCCGGUGUAGCGGUGAAAUGCGUAGAGAUCGGGAAGAAUACCAGUGGCGAAGGCGGCCUUCUGGACUGACACUGACACUGAGGUGCGAAAGCGUGGGUAGCAAACAGGAUUAGAUACCCUGGUAGUC